UACGUAGGGUGCAAGCGUUGUCCGGAAUUAUUGGGCGUAAAGAGCUCGUAGGCGGUCUGUCGCGUCUGGUGUGAAAAUCCAGGGCUUAACCCUGGACCUGCAUCGGGUACGGGCAGACUAGAGUGCGGUAGGGGAGAUCGGAAUUCCUGGUGUAGCGGUGAAAUGCGCAGAUAUCAGGAGGAACACCGGUGGCGAAGGCGGAUCUCUGGGCCGACACUGACACUGAGAGACGAAAGCUAGGGGAGCGAAUGGG
rnacentral:rRNA from 1 species